rnacentral:piRNA from 1 species
UGCCAAAUAAUCAAUCCUACAAUGUCC